rnacentral:tRNA from 1 species
UAAGAUUUAGUUUAAUUUUAGAACGUUUAGUUGUUACCUAAAAAGUUUAAUCUUAG